GAGAAAUGAUUUUGUCUCUUGUCAAAUCCUAGAAAUUUGUCGUUGAGCUGAACAAGGAUGGAGACUCCUGGAUUGGUCUAUGGGUAGAAACAGGAAGGAAAUGGAAAUGGGUGGACGACUCGCCGCUGACAGAAUUGUUCUGGGCAACAGGACACCCGCACAGCAACUAUUAUUACGCUGCAGCAUGCUGCAAUAAACAAGGAAAAUGGACAGAGAGCGGAUAUAAUGAUCAGAAGAAGAACUGGAUCUGUGAGAAAGAGCUUUCCUGUUUAUCUUGAGGACAGAGGGGUGUGUAGUGUUGGGAUCAACUUUGUCAAAUCAGACCAACUCACAUUUUACAUUUCUUCAGUUGUUCAUUCUGUGUUGCAUCCUGAACAACCUGGAUUACAUAGAUAUUGUUCCUCUGCCCUACACAGUGAACAGUCUGGUUGGAAGUCAUCCACACAACUACAUGUGCACUUACCCUCUCUGCAGAGAGGGAUAUUACAACAGCCUGUUUUCAAAAAGCCUAAGAUGUCACAUACAUGACAACAAGGGGAAAGACGGCUCCUUUCUGUUUCAGUGUUAUUUAAGCCAUUAUCAUAAAGGACAAACCUCAUAGGCUUCUUCCACAGACCACUUACUGAUGUAGUUACACUUGGGAGGAGGAAAGAUUAUGAAUGUGUUUUGGAGAGAAGAAUACACCUGAUUUUGAAUAAGA